rnacentral:rRNA from 1 species
UUAUUAGUUUUUUAUUUUUUAUUAUUUUGUUUUUAUAUAAUUUUUUAUAUUUUAGUAUUAUUAAGAAAUAAUUUAUUUAUUUUGACUGUAAAGGUUUAUUUUUAAUAUUUUGGUUAUAUUUUUAGUACCUUUUGUAUCAGGGUUAAUUUAUUUAUUAAUCUAUUUUAUAUUCCCGAAUUAAAGAUAAUUAAAAUUAAAUUUUUUUUUUAUGUUGUAUAUUAUUAAUAAAUUUAUUUUUAGUAGUUAAAAGUUAUUCGUUCUUUAAAUAUAUCUGGUUUCUUAGGAAUUAAAUUUAAUUUAGACUUAUUAAUUAAGUUUAUAUAAUUAGGGAUAAUCUUAAUUUUUUGUUAAAAUUUAUUUAAUUUUAUUUUUAUUUUUCUUAGAAUCUGUUAAUUAAGUUCGUAAUAGAUUUGAAUUUUUAUUUAAGAUUUUUUUUUAUUUAUCUUAUUACUUGGAUUUUUUAUUAAAUUUUUAUUUAAAAAUUAUUUAUGAUUAAAUUAGUAUAAUUUUUAUUUAUUUAUUUAUGAAUUCGACAAUUUUAAUUUUCAACUGUUUAUCAAAAACAUUUCUUUAAGUAAAAAAUUUAAGGUAGGUUCUGCCCUAUGAUUUUAAAUAAUUUAAAUGGCUGCAGUAUUUUGACUGUGCAAAGGUAGCAUAAUAAUUAGCUUCUUAAUUAGGGGCUUGUAUGAAUGAAUUAAUGAGAAAUUUAUUUUAUUAUAUUUAUUAUUAUAAUUUAAUUUUUAGGUUAAAAAGCUUAACUGUAAAUUUGGGACGAUAAGACCCUAUAGAACUUGAAUUUGUUUAAUUAUGUGUGUAUUAGAUUUAUUUAUAAAUUUAAAUUGAAUUAAAUUUUUACUGGGGUGGUAGAUAAAUUUUUAACUUUAUUUUUUUUUUUCACUUAUUUGUGAUUUUUUGAUCCAUUAUUAAUAUGAUGAAAGAUUAAGUUACCUUAGGGAUAACAGCGUAAUUUUAAUGGAAAGUUCAUAUUUAUAUUAAAGUUUGCGACCUCGAUGUUGAAUUAAGAUUAAGUUAAGGGGUAGGUUCUUUAAAUUUGGGUCUGUUCGACCUUUAAAAUCUUACAUGAUUUGAGUUCAAACCGGUGUAAGCCAGGUUGGUUUCUAUCUAAUUUUAAAGCUAUAUUUAAUUAGUACGAAAGGACCAUUAAGUUUCAUAUUAUGAUUAUAUAUUGAAUUUUAUU